GCUGCUCUCUGUCUAAUGCUGCCCCGUUCCAGGUCUGCACCCAGGGAGGAGCCUGGGACCUGCUCCGUCCUGGCGGCCAAGCCUUGCAGGUGAUGGACAUCGCUCCCCUGGGCCUGACUGGCAGCCUCUUCACGCUGACGCUGGAGCGAGAGCUGGAGGGAUGUGGGCGCCGGCGCUCRGCCCUCAGGAUCCUGGCAGUCCCCGGGGGCCCCGAGCCGUACGUACCAGAGCCAUAACUCUGCCCCGGGCUUGGGGUUGAGCCAGGUCCCCUCUCAGGGACUCCY
rnacentral:lncRNA from 1 species